rnacentral:rRNA from 2 species
CUUGCUGCUUCGCUGACGAGUGGCGGACGGGUGAGUAAUGUCUGGGAAACUGCCUGAUGGAGGGGGAUAACUACUGGAAACGGUAGCUAAUACCGCAUAACGUCGCAAGACCAAAGAGGGGGACCUUAGGGCCUCUUGCCAUCGGAUGUGCCCAGAUGGGAUUAGCUAGUAGGUGGGGUAACGGCUCACCUAGGCGACGAUCCCUAGCUGGUCUGAGAGGAUGACCAGCCACACUGGAACUGAGACACGGUCCAG